rnacentral:rRNA from 1 species
CAAUAGCGUAUAUUAAAGUUGUUGCAGUUAAAAAGCUCGUAGUUGGAUUUCUGGUAGGAGUGUCCGUGCCAGACUUGAUUGUCUGUGUAUUGUGUUGUCUCCAGCCAUCCUUGUGGAGAACUUUUCUUGCAUUAAUUUGUAGGGAUUGGGACCCGCAUCGUUUACUGUGAAAAAAUUAGAGUGUUUAAAGCAGGCAAUCGCUUGAAUACAUUAGCAUGGAAUAAUAAGAUAGGACUUUGGUACUAUUUUGUUGGUUUGCAUACCAAAUUAAUGAUCAACAGGAACAGUUUGAGGAUAUUCGUAUGAACAUGUCAGAGGUGAAAUUCUUGGAUUUUGAUCAGACGAACUACUGCGAAAGCAUUUAUCAAGGAUGUUUUCAUUAA